UACGGGGGGGGUAAGCGUUGUUCGGAAUUACUGGGCGUAAAGGGCUCGUAGGCGGCCAACUAAGUCAUACGUGAAAUCCCUCAGCUUAACUGGGGAACUGCGUGUGAUACUGGAUGGCUUGGAUUUGGGAGAGGGAUGCGGAAUUCCAGGUGUAGCGGUGAAAUGCGUAGAUAUCUGGAGGAAUACCGGUGGCGAAGGCGGCGAUCCUGGCCCCUGUCCUGACGCUCAGGGGCGAAAGCGUGGGGAGCAAACCGGG
rnacentral:rRNA from 1 species